rnacentral:rRNA from 1 species
AUGCUUGGUUACGGGAAGGAUUCACACUCCUACAGAGUCUUCAACCUCUUUCACUAUAAAGUGGUUGAAACUGUGGAUGUGCGGUUCGAUGAGACUAACGGCUCGCAAAGAGAGCACCUGCCAAAUGUGCUAGAUGAAGUCCCACCUAGUGAAUCCAUCAAGCUUAUGGGUACUAGAGAAAUCAUACCUUCAGAGGCACAGGCUGAAGAGGAACUUAUCAUUUCUGCACCAAUCAUUUCUGCACCAAAUCAACCUGAAGACUCUGCUCAGCCUGAAGACAAUACUGAAGAUGAAGACAAUGAUCAACAAGAGCAAAGUCUUCGUCCAGUUCAUCCUCGUGUUGCGAAUGAAGUACAAAUUGAGAAGAUAAUUGAUAGUAUCAAUGCACCUGGUCCCCUUACUCGCUUAAGAGCAAUGCAACUGGCAAAUUUCUGUGGGCACUUUGCAUUUGUCUCUAUAUCUGAACCCAAGAAAGUUGCUGAAGCAUUCAUGGAACCUGGGUGGAUUCAAGCUAUGCAAGAAGAGCUUCAAUAG